CAGUAGCGCCGUCAGGGAUGACGGCGCAGCCGCAGGCGGCACAGGGAUGUGCCGUGUGCGGCGGUACGUC
rfam:Aeromonas schubertii strain ATCC 43700 Scaffold12, whole genome shotgun sequence.